rnacentral:rRNA from 1 species
CCUACGGGAGGCAGCAGUGGGGAAUAUUGCGCAAUGGGCGAAAGCCUGACGCAGCGACGCCGCGUGAGGGAUGAAGGUCUUCGGAUCGUAAACCUCUGUCAGCAGGGAAGAACGGUCACUGUGCUAAUCAGCAGUGAAUUGACGGUACCUGCAAAGGAAGCACCGGCUAACUCCGUGCCAGCAGCCGCGGUAAUACGGAGGGUGCGAGCGUUAAUCGGAAUUACUGGGCGUAAAGCGCUCGUAGGCGGUAUGUCAAGUCAAGGGUGAAAUCCCCGCGCUCAACGUGGGAACUGCCUUUGAAACUGGCAAACUGGAGUGUGUGAGAGGAUAGUGGAAUUCCAGGUGUAGGAGUGAAAUGCGUAGAUAUCUGGAGGAACACCGGUGGCGAAGGCGACUAUCUGGCACAUAACUGACGCUGAGGAGCGAAAGCGUGGGUAGCAAACAGGAUUAGAUACCCCUGUAGUC